rnacentral:rRNA from 1 species
CAAUAGCGUAUAUUAAAGUUGUUGCAGUUAAAAAGCUCGUAGUUGGAUUUCUGGUGGGAGCGAUCGGUCUGGCGCUUAGCGCGAGUACUUGCAUCGUCUCCGGCCAUCCUUGGGGAGAGUCUGUCUGGCAUUAAGUUGUCGGGCAGAGGAUCCUCAUCGUUUACUGUGAAAAAAUUAGAGUGUUCAAAGCAGGCUUAUGCCGUUGAAUAUAUUAGCAUGGAUUAAUAAGAUAGGACUUUGGUACUAUUUUGUUGGUUUGCGCACCAAAGUAAUGAUUAAUAGGGACAGUUGGGGGUAUUCGUAUUCCGUUGUCAGAGGUGAAAUUCUUGGAUUUACGGAAGACGAACUACUGCGAAAGCAUUUACCAAGGAUGUUUUCAUUAA